UGAGUAACACGUAUCCAACCUGCCGUCUACUCUUGGACAGCCUUCUGAAAGGAAGAUUAAUACAAGAUGGCAUCAUGAGUUCACAUGUUCACAUGAUUAAAGGUAUUCCGGUAGACGAUGGGGAUGCGUUCCAUUAGAUAGUAGGCGGGGUAACGGCCCACCUAGUCUUCGAUGGAUAGGGGUUCUGAGAGGAAGGUCCCCCACAUUGGAACUGAGACGCGGUCCAA
rnacentral:rRNA from 1 species